GAUGCUGGGAAUUCAGAGCAACAUAUAGAAAAUGCUGAAGGAGCAUAGCAGGCUAGGCAGCAUCUAUGGAAAUGAAUAUACAACCAACAUUUCGUGCUGGGACCUGAAGAAGAGUCUUGGUCCAAAGCAUAAACUUUUCAUUAAUUUCCAUGGAUAGAAAGUUCCUACAGCAUUUUGUGUGCAUUUCUCCUUUUCUAUGCUUUACAGCAUUGUUUUGCAGUUGACUAUAUUGUCACAAGGAGUGCUUUAUUGGUUUUAAAGCAUUCCGCAUUGUUCUCUAGUUUUUUUUUCCUUUCAAGUCCCUCUACAAAUUAUGGCGGCAUUCCAUUCCUGUGAAUUGCUUGUAAUCUGGACAGUUGGCAAGUUGGAAAUGCAGCCGUGUGUGGAGUUCCCACAGCGCAGAAGUGCUUGAAAAGCCCCAGAGCAGCUGAUCUCCUAGAGACUCAUUCGUCGCACGUUCUUUUGAAGACCUUGACCUGGAGUUACACGCUGAUUUUGGUUCUUUACGGGAAUGGGACCCGCUCUCAGGGCCUCACCAUCGGCCGCUUUUUGAUAACCCACGGACGCGGCCUGGGAGACCAGUGCGCCUUCAGAGAGCCGGAUUUUCGUGGCUCUGGAGACGGGCUGACUCAAGGCCGGUGUCACAGGAAAACACUGCUUAUUUCCUCUCAGAGUAUGGAGAUCGAUUGAUAAUGCCUCAUAAUUCUGCCGCCUGGAUUGAUUGAUAGCUGGUGCUCUGCACGCCUUUCAGGAAAGAAGAAGAGUGGGUGCAAGUUAUUUGGGAGUCCAGGAAGUGUUUUAUGCUGCACUUUACAU